CGGGGUGUAGCGCAGCCUGGUAGCGCGCCACGUUCGGGACGUGGAGGCCGGAGGUUCGAGUCCUCUCACCCCGACCA
rnacentral:tRNA from 1 species